rnacentral:misc_RNA from 1 species
UGGUUCUGGCAUCGAUGAAGAACGCAGCGAAAUGCGAUAAGUAAUGUGAAUUGCAGAAUUCAGUGAAUCAUCGAAUCUUUGAACGCACAUUGCGCCCUUUGGCAUUCCGAAGGGCAUGCCCGUUCGAGCGUCAUUAAAUCCACUCAAGCCUGGCUUGGUAUUGGGCGCCGGGGACCCCCCGCGCCUCCAUUUCGCCGGCUGGCCGUCGUUUGACUUAGCGUUGUGACACAUGUCGCUAACGACGAAGACGGACUGCGCCGUGAGAAUCUCCUUGCGUGUCGGUCGACAUGCAGUAAAGGUUGACCUCGGAUCGGGUAGGAAUACCCGCUGA